rnacentral:tRNA from 1 species
CCGGGUAUAGCUCAGCUUGGCUAGAGCGUCCGCUUUGGGAGCGGAAGGUCGCACGUUCGAAUCGUGUUACCCGGAC